rnacentral:lncRNA from 12 species
UCGCGUCGCGUCCCUCCCGGUGCCUGCCGGUCUCGGCCGGGGCCGCCCGCAGAACCCUUGUAGACCCUUCUCCACCGGUCUCCCCGGGGAGAGCAGACCCCGCGCGGCCGCAGGUGUCUUUGCCAACAUCCCUACUGAGGGCGUCAGACGUGUCGGGCGUGGGGUCGGUUCUCUUGUAGGAAGUGCCUUACAGGGGAAGAGGACAUUUCCGGAAGGAUCUCAGCCUCGAUCUGAUUUUUCUGAGAAGCCCGAGGCCCUUCCCCACCCCCGGCCCGGCGCGGUGCUGCUGCUUGGGCCCCGCAGCCGUGUCCCCGAGGCCAGGCGCCAGGCUUGCUGGGCCACGAGGAGGAGGCCUGGCCGGGGCUGCGGGGCCGCAGGACGGUCCCCUCCCGGCCUGGACCCGGGGCUUUGCUGGUGUCACGGCCCGUCCCCGGCAGCGUCGUCGCGGCUCCUGCGGCUCCUGGUGUGGGGCCUCCCGCAGCCCGUGCGGAGCGUCGGACGCGGCGGAGCCGAGGGCCUGCCCCUUCCCGGGGAGCCUUCCCGGUCCCGCGCUGUCCCGGGGUCACCGACCCUCAGAAGCCUGUGGCGCCCUCAGCCUCGGGACGGUCCCGUCGCUGGUCCCCGGGCCGCUCGCGGGCUCCCUGAGCAAAGCAGGACCGAGGCCUCGGGGCCCAGUGGGCAGCGUCCAGGCCGCGGGAGCUGCUCCUCAGGGGCCCGUGACCCCCCCUCCCCGCCCCGGGUGCCUCGGCCAAGCGGGGCCUCCCAGGCCAGCGGCGGAAGCUGUUCCUGGGCUCCGGGGGCAAGAAGAGGCCCAAGAGCAUCAGAGGGGACCCCCGCCCGGGAGGGCUUCCUGCCGACGGGCCGAGGUGCCGCAGCCCUGGCCUCCCCGGCCUCCAGGCCUCCCGUGGGCCUCGGCUGGGUGUGGGGGCAGGACCACUGCCCCAGCAGGUGCUCGGCUGCCUCCCCGCUGCCCGCGGCCCCCCCCCUGCAGCGGAGCCGCUGCCUCUUCCGCAGACUGAGCUUGGCUCAUCCCAGAGUUUCCAGGCGAUCCCACNNNNNNNNNNNNNNNNNNNNNNNNNNNNNNNNNNNNNNNNNNNNNNNNNNNNNN